rnacentral:rRNA from 1 species
GUUUGAUCCUGGCUCAGAACGAACGCUGGCGGCAUGCCUAACACAUGCAAGUCGAACGAAGGCUUCGGCCUUAGUGGCGCACGGGUGCGUAACGCGUGGGAACCUGCCCCUCGGUUCGGAAUAACAGUUAGAAAUAGACUGCUAAUACCGAAUGAUGACUUCGGUCCAAAGAUUUAUCGCCGAGGGAUGGGCCCGCGUAGGAUUAGCUAGUUGGUGGGGUAAAGGCCUACCAAGGCGACGAUCCUUAGCUGGUCUGAGAGGAUGAUCAGCCACACUGGGACUGAGACACGGCCCAGACUCCUACGGGAGGCAGCAGUGGGGAAUAUUGGACAAUGGGCGAAAGCCUGAUCCAGCAAUGCCGCGUGAGUGAUGAAGGCCUUAGGGUUGUAAAGCUCUUUUACCAGGGAUGAUAAUGACAGUACCUGGAGAAUAAGCUCCGGCUAACUCCGUG